AUAAACUACACAUCCAAUUUCUUGAGUGAGAAAGUAUCACUCAAGGGUUGGUUGUUCACUUCCUUUAGGAAGCAAGAUUUAACAUGUGUCAUGCAAAAGGUUACAUGAAUCUCACAUCUUGAGUUCUCGUAAUAGUACAAUACCAUUUAUCCGCUUCUGAUCUAGUUUUACACUUCUCAUGAGGAGUUAAAAUUUAAGCAAUAAAUUUGAUUUGAUCUCAUGUUACCUAUAGGUAGUCAAACAGCCUUUAGAUUGAGCAUUAGGAAGUUAAAUUUUGUACUCAAGGGUUGGUUGUUCACUUCCUUUAGGAAGCAAGAUUUAACAUGUGUCAUGCAAAAGGUUACAUGAAUCUCACAUCUUGAGUUCUCGUAAUAGUACAAUACCAUUUAUCCGCUUCUGAUCUAGUUUUACACUUCUCAUGAGGAGUUAAAAUUUAAGCAAUAAAUUUGAUUUGAUCUCAUGUUACCUAUAGGUAGUCAAACAGCCUUUAGAUUGAGCAUUAGGAAGUUAAAUUUUGUACUCAAGGGUUGGUUGUUCACUUCCUUUAGGAAGCAAGAUUUAACAUGUGUCAUGCAAAAGGUUACACGAAUCUCACAUCUUGAGUUCUCGCAAUAGUACAAUACCAUUUAUCCGCUUCUGAUCUAGUUUUACCUUCUCAUGAGGAGUGAAAAUUUAAGCAAUAAAUUUGAUUUGAUCUCAUGUUACCUAUACCUGUCAAACAGCCUUUAGAUUGAGCAUUAGGAAGUUAAAUUUUGUACUCUAUGGCCUGUUCUGAUCUCACUUCUGUACUUCUCAUA
rnacentral:lncRNA from 1 species